rnacentral:rRNA from 1 species
AGUGAACGCUGGCGGUAGGCCUAACACAUGCAAGUCGAACGGCAGCACAGUAAGAGCUUGCUCUUACGGGUGGCGAGUGGCGGACGGGUGAGGAAUACAUCGGAAUCUACUUUUUCGUGGGGGAUAACGUAGGGAAACUUACGCUAAUACCGCAUACGACCUACGGGUGAAAGCAGGGGAUCUUCGGACCUUGCGCGAUUGAAUGAGCCGAUGUCGGAUUAGCUAGUUGGCGGGGUAAAGGCCCACCAAGGCGACGAUCCGUAGCCGGUCCGAGAGGAUGAUCAGCCACACUGGAACUGAGACACGGUCCAGACUCCUACGGGAGGCAGCAGUGGGGAAUAUUGGACAAUGGGCGGAAGCCUGAUCCAGCCAUACCGCGUGGGUGAAGAAGGCCUUCGGGUUGUAAAGCCCUUUUGUUGGGAAAGAAAAGCAGCAGGUUAAUACCCCGCUGUUCUGACGGUACCCAAAGAAUAAGCACCGGCUAACUUCGUG